AGUGGAAUAACUGGGUCAAAUGGUGGUUUCAUUCCAAGUUUUUAGAGGAAUCUUCAUACUGCUUUACAGAGUGGUUGCACCAAUUUGCAGUCCCACCAGUGAA
rnacentral:miRNA from 1 species